rnacentral:lncRNA from 1 species
UUGUCGUCCCCCUCUCUAGCUCCUUUCUCUUCUUCCUCCUUUGUGCCGCCCAAUAUUCUACUCUCCAUUAUUGCCACCAUCUCCUUGGCCAUUUGGUUGCCAAUUUUUCCACUAUCCACUUUUGAACCUCAUUGUUGUCAUCUCUACUCUCUUCUUUUUCUUCCUCUAUCGUCGCCGUGGUGAGCAACCACCAUUCUUGUCACUGUCGUCCAUUGUUCCUUCUUCUUUUCCUUUCCCUUGUCACAUUUUAUUGUUGUUGAAAUCUCGUUAUAAGCCCUAGGUCAAAUCUCUUUUUAGCACUCGUUGGUGAGUACUCAUCUUUUCUAUGUUAACUACAGAUCCAUAACGGAAAGUGUAAGUAACUUUUUAUGUAAUUAGAUCUAAGAUAUUUUCUUAUUUUUCUCAUUUUGAGAUAGUUAGGUCUCACCUAUUUAAUUCUAUUUAUAUUUGAUUGGUUCUAAAUCUAGAUCCAAACCCCUUAGAUCAACAAUAACUUUGAUGAGUAUUCGCAACUCCGUUAGAAGCCAAAUAGGGUAAGUGUUAAGUUACGACUUCAUAUCUGAAAUUUUGGUUAAAAUUGCUGCUUUGGUCGAACCCUAUAUGAGUGUUAGGGGGAUGAUUUUUAAUGAUUAAACCUUGUUGGGUACAGAUCUGAGUUAUAGCUAAUUGGAUCUCAAGCAUAAAAGUUGCGGAAAAGUGAUAGAGUUCGAUUUAGUGCAAUCAGGUGUGGGUCUAACCUUUGGGUGUUUAAUUGACUAUAUUUAAUAAUGUUAUGUGCAUGAUAAACCAAAAUACAUGCUGAUUUGUGCGUGGGCGAAUGAUCAUGAGUGGAUUAUCCACAAACCAUUGGUAGCUUGAUUGCAAAAUUGUUAUUGGUGAAUUAUUUGCAAACCAAAUUGAUAGUUUAUUUGCAAGAUUGAUAUUGGUGGUUCAACCACACCGAGCUUCGGCUUGUCACAUCCAUUUCUGUAGUAACUACUAUUAAUAAUCCAGUAAGUAAUGUUGGAAAAACAUGUUUGGAAAAUGC